rnacentral:rRNA from 1 species
CCUACGGGCGGCUGCAGUGGGGAAUAUUGCACAAUGGGCGCAAGCCUGAUGCAGCCAUGCCGCGUGUGUGAAGAAGGCCUUCGGGUUGUAAAGCACUUUCAGCGGGGAGGACGGCGUUAAGGUUAAUAACCUUGGCGAUUGACGUUACCCGCAGAAGAAGCACCGGCUAACUCCGUGCCAGCAGCCGCGGUAAUACGGAGGGUGCAAGCGUUAAUCGGAAUUACUGGGCGUAAAGCGCACGCAGGCGGUCUGUCAAGUCGGAUGUGAAAUCCCCGGGCUCAACCUGGGAACUGCAUUCGAAACUGGCAGGCUAGAGUCUUGUAGAGGGGGGUAGAAUUCCAGGUGUAGCGGUGAAAUGCGUAGAGAUCUGGAGGAAUACCGGUGGCGAAGGCGGCCCCCUGGACAAAGACUGACGCUCAGGUGCGAAAGCGAGGGGAGCAAACAGGAUUAGAUACCCGAGUAGUC